rnacentral:lncRNA from 1 species
AUGAGCGGCCCGAGGGCGGGCGCGCCGCCGCGGUCCCUGCCAAAGCGGUGCUGCAGAUGCGUCUCGGAGCCGCCCGCCCGGCGCGCCCCCGGAACCGGCGGACACCCCCAUUGUGUCACCAGGCAGCGCGCUCUCUCGGCCCCCGCCGCCCUCGCCUACCUUCUGGCGGCCUCUCCGUCGCGCCCGCACCGCCGGCCGCCCGCCUCCAGCGCUCUGCAAAGCGAAGGGGGACGCUUUGUUAGGGCUCAAGAAGCGGGACAAUACUUCGCAGCCGGCGCCGCGGUUCCGGGCGGGCGUCCUUCAAAAGGACGCGGCCGGGGAGCCGCGCGAGCGUCAUUUCCAUAUGUAAGGAGCCGGCUCGUACAAAAGCGCGGCUCUCCGGGGCCGCGGCGCGCAUCCUCCCCGCCCGCCGGCCCGCCCCCCCGGCAGAGCAGCCCGCGCCGCCCGGGCCCGCCCCUCCUCCCGCCCGCGAAGGCGCCCCCUCUCCGCCGCGUUCCCCCCCACCUCGGGAGCGCCCCGCGCGCCCCGACCUCGCACUCCCGAGGGGAAGCCCCAGCCGGUCCCCGUGCGGGGUCCGCCCUGGGCGCUCAGGGCCUCGCCGACGGCGCGGGGGGGCAAUGCGAGGCCUCCGCGCACCCCCCCCCCCCGCCAGGCCGCGGGGCGGGGGUGCCCUGGGAACGGGCUCCUCGCUCACCGCGUCCCGGGGCUCAGGCGCCCGGCGCCGCCGCGGUGACCAUGGCCGCGGGCGCACUCGGGGCUCGGAGGCGGAGGCGGCGGCGGCGGCGGGACGGCCGCGCCCAGCGCGCUCGGCUCCCGGCUCGGCCGCGGCCACCCGGAGCUUCGGACGCGGGGGAGGAAGGGCCGGGCCCGCGCGGGGAGGAGGAGCCAGGGCGACGCCGGCCGGGGCGCGGCUCCUCCUCCGCGGCCCGCGGCGCCCGGGCGGCCGAGGGAGGAGCGCCACGCGGUGUCCCGGCCCUCGCGGGGUCCGCCCCCGGCCCCCACCCGGACGGGUACAGGGCCCCGGGCUCCGGGGAUUGCUCAGGUAGCGGGAACACGGGGGGAGCCCAGUCCAGGGUUGGCUGCUGGGUGACGCUGGGAGGUCGCUUCGGAGAUUUGAACUUGAAAAACGCAGGGUUCUAG